GUAGGACUAGCAAAAAAGAAAACUAAACUUUAAAAGAAUAAAAUGUAGUAUAUUUGAGAUAAGGCAGACAAAAGAGGCUAAAAACAAAAACCAAAAAUACAGCAGCAUGCAAAUGAAUGUGAUUAAAAGAUUUUUUAAAUUAAAAGACUAAAUAUUCUCACCAAAAAUAAUUGAAAGCUAAGUGAUGGAUUUGUUAGAGGGUAUCCAUUCACAGUGUUUACAUUAUAUAUAUUAGAUCAUCACAGUUGUUUAUUUUAAAUAGCUGACAAUUUUAUUUGUCAAUUAUACCGCAAUAAAAAUGAGAAAGAAAAAAAAAAGGGUGAUCAUGUUCAAAUGAGACCAGGAAGGUGGAGUUCUAGCCCAUUACGACUAAUGUCCUCAUAAGAAGAGGAAGAGAUACCAGGGAUGCGGGUGCGCAAAGAAAACUGUGUGAAGAGGCAGCAAGAGGGAGACCACCUGCAAGCCAAGCAGACAGGCCUCAGAAGAAACCACCCACCGACACCUGGGGCUUGGUCCCUCAGCCUCCAGAGCUCUGACAGCACAGAUUUCUGUUGUUUAAACCCCUUCCCUGAAUUAAAAGACUAAGAAGGAUAAUCAUGAGGAACGCGCCUGGCAGGAGGCAACCUUCCCCCUGGGUUAAGAUUAUAAAUCUUCAAUGAUUAAGAUGGUUUUUGAUAAAAACCAAAACUAUUCUCAAAACUCAGCUGAGUGAACCUUCCUUCUGCUUUAUGUGUUGUACCUUCCUAAAAAACUGUGAACCUGCAAGGAGAAACUGUGUUACUUGUCUUGGAUUCAAUUGAAUACAACGCGUGGCAAGUGGUAAGCAUUUA